rnacentral:rRNA from 1 species
AGUCACUGACAUUAGAUACCCGGGUAGUCCAGGGUGUAAACGCUGCAGACUUGGUGUUGGGGCCCGUUUGGGGGCAUUCAGUGCCGGAGAGAAGUUGUUAAGUCUGCUACGUUGGGAGUACGUCCGCAAGGAUGAAACUUAAAGGAAUUGGCGGGGGAGCACCGCAACGGGAGGAGCGUGCGGUUUAAUUGGAUUCAACACCGUAAACUCACCAGGGAAGACUGUUACAUGAAGGCCGAGAUGAAGACUCUGCUAGAUUUUCAG